AACGAACGCUGGCGGCAUGCCUAACACAUGCAAGUCGAACGAGAAGCCAUCUUCGGGUGGUGGAAAGUGGCGCACGGGUGAGUAACGCGUGGGAACCUGCCCCGAGGUUCGGAAUAACGGCUGGAAACGGCCGCUAAUACCGGAUGUGACUCGAGGGUGAAAGAUUUAUCGCCUUGGGAGGGGCCCGCGUCCGAUUAGCUAGUUGGUGUGGUAAUGGCGCACCAAGGCUUCGAUCGGUAGCUGGCCUGAGAGGAUGAUCAGCCACACUGGGACUGAGACACGGCCCAG
rnacentral:rRNA from 1 species